UACGGAGGGUGCAAGCGUUGUUCGGAAUCACUGGGCGUAAAGCGCGUGUAGGCGGCUAUUUAAGUCUGAUGUGAAAGCCCUGGGCUUAACCCAGGAAGUGCAUUGGAUACUGGGUAGCUCGAGUACCGGAGAGGAGGGUGGAAUUCCUGGUGUAGCGGUGAAAUGCGUAGAUAUCAGGAGGAACACCGGUGGCGAAGGCGUCCCUCUGGCCGGAUACUGACGCUGAGACGCGAAAGCGUGGGGAGCAAACAGGAUUAGAUACCCUGGUAGUCCACGCCAUAAACGAUGGGUACUAGGUGUUCGGGGUAUUGACCCCCUGAGUGCCGCAGCUAACGCAUUAAGUACCCCGCCUGGGGAAUACGGCCGCAAGGUUAAA
rnacentral:rRNA from 1 species